rnacentral:rRNA from 1 species
UACGAAGGGGGCUAGCGUUGCUCGGAAUGACUGGGCGUAAAGGGCGCGGUAGGCGGAUGGCUUUGUCGCGUGUGAAAGCCCCCGGGCUCCAACCUGGGAACGGCGCGGCGAAACGGGGGGGCUGGAGUUCGGGAGAGGAGCGUGGAAUUCCCAGUGUAGAGGUGAAAUUCGUAAGAUAUUGGGAAGAACACCGGUGGCGGAAGGCGGCGCUCUGGACCGAGACUGACGCUGAGGCGCGAAAGCGUGGGGAGCAAACAGG